rnacentral:lncRNA from 1 species
CUAGACUAUUCUUGCCCGGAUUUCUGCACAUCUCAGAUCAAACACCAGCUCUUAAAGAAGAGGCUUUCUCUCACCCUCCAGGCUCUCCUAGCUGCGUCACCCUGAUUUGUUUGAUUAUCAGUGAAAUGUGUGUUCUGAGUAUUUGUUUACUCGCUUGUUGUUUCUCUUCCUACUAAGCUGGAAGCUCUGUGACAGCAGAGACCUUCUCUAUCAUGUUCCCUGCAGUAUUUCCUGCUUUGAGAGCAGUUCCUGGCACAUUAGCUGGGGCUCAAUAGAGUGCUGUUGAAAAAAUGAGCAAACCGAGACCAGGUAGUGGGGACAGCCCCAGGGGCUCCCCAUCUAGAGAAGCGAUGGAGACAAACUGGCAUCUAUAACAUGCAGCUCCAUGGAUACUUUGCUACACGGCAGACGGGGGUUGCAGGAGCCUUGAAGAUGUGACUCUACCCCGCAUGCAUGGGAGCCGGUGCAGGGGAAAGUUCCUGGAGAAGUUGUGUCCAAGUUGAGACCUAAAGGAUGAGGAGAGCCCUGAGUCACCAUGAAAGAUUUCUGGCCACCCUGCUGAAGAGGCCACAUGGGGAGGCCACAUGGAGAGGAGGAGAGGUCCACUGAUCCAGCAUUUUAGUUGAGCUUCCAGCUGACUCCAGCCUCAAGCUUUAUCUGAAUGCACCUGCAUGAGAGACUUCUAAGCAAGACCAGCAGAAGAUCCACCCGCUGAUCCCAGACAACCCAUGGAACCAUGAGAGAGCCAAUAAAAUUGUGGUGGUUUUAAAGCCACUGAGCUUUGGAGUGGUUUGUGAUACAAUGAUAAAUAACAAAAGCAAUCUCACUGAUGGUGAGUCUGGCUGGCAUUCCUGAGCCUUGUGCCAC